GGAGGAAAUAGAGAGCCUCAGAUUAGACCUGAGCCUGUAAAGUAGAUAUGGUACCUCCCAUCCUAGUCAUGAGGAUCAAAGGAGGGCAUGGUUUGUGAAGUGCUUUGCAGACUAAGUGGGAGAUUAGCAUCAGCUGUUAAAUUAGUAUUCAGUCAUUCUCUAUUCUGAUGGCUACGGUGAGCCAUUGACUCAAAAGAACUUAAAUAGGAAGCUGGAAGGGGCUGUAGAAGCUAUCUAGGUUAGCCUCAUUUUACAGAUCACAAAACCAGGCGCCAAUGAAAGGAAAUGACUUUUCUAAGGUCAUACAGAUGGGAAGCAACAGAGUGCAUUCUGGAAAAUGAGGCACUAAGUGUGGACAAGUAGCUCAAGUCAGUGGGAAUCAGAUCCCUGCAUGAUAAAUGACUUCUGUGCCUGGAAUGGGGACUCCAGAACCCUACCUGGGGGAGAAGGGCUACGCCAGGUCUUUUGGCUUCAAAGGCAAUGAAUGUCCUUUUCAUCUGUAUUAUUUGAAGGAAUGGAUCAGGGGCUGCAUCUAAGAUUUUAUAAGUUUGAGAAACCUCCAGAAAGAAGACUGGAGAGCAUCUGAGGACACAAGGCAAGGCUGUCAGAGAACGGAGGCACCGAAGGAAAUGCUGCAGGAGUGGCCGGAAAGAAACUGAGUAAACAGGGUGAGGCAUCUCCCCUGCAGCUGAAGCAGACAGGAGAGUUAGGAGAUGACAGUCAGAAGCCCUGGCUCAGCCAGGGAGAUAGGUAAGAGGGCACCUGGCUACCUGGGAUCAACUCAAGUCCUAGAGCUCUACAUGAACUGCUUUCCAGGGUACUGAAAGAAUUGACAAGCCAUUGUCAAUAAUCCUUGAAAGAUGCUGGGGAAUGGGAGAAAUAGAGAGAAGGUAGCUUGAAACCAUUCAGGCCAGUGGGCUUGAUUUCCAUUCAGUACCAGAAUACAGAACUUGUCUAUAAAAUCGUGCAUCUACUGAGCAUUUCCCAGGGAAAUAGUGAUUACCGAUACCAAUGGAUCCCAUCAGAUUGGGAAGUUACUUAAGACACAGAGAGUUCAAGGCAUACCAUUACUCAGUAUCUGAGGCACAAUUUUCAUAAUCUCCCUAUUUUCAAGGUCUCCUGAAUUCCACAUCCAGCUCUCUGCCCACCAGGUACUUCUGCUUAUCUUUCUUUCUUUUUUGUUGUUGUUUGUUUGUUUUUCAGACUGUUUAUAAACUGAAAUGUUCUAUGGUAUGUAGCAGCCUAGAGUAGUAGAGAAUAUACUGGUUCUGCCC
rnacentral:lncRNA from 1 species